rnacentral:lncRNA from 1 species
UAGAGAAGAAAAGCGGGCAGCUACUAGAUAUUCAAAUCUUCCACAAAUGUCAGGGAGAGAGUCAGGCAGUUGGUAGAAGAGACCUGUAAAGCUGGGUACCAUAAGCCUCAACACAGGUGUUUUUAUUUCAAGGCUGGGGAGCUGUGCUUUGGAAAAGCAAUGAGGAGAUAUACAGGGAGUCCACGGAGCCUCCCCUGCAAGCAUCAGUACAGAAGUCGAUGAUAAUCUGGAUGCAAGCCCAGGAGUGUGGAGUCCACUGACUCAGAAGACCUGCAUCUAAGGAAUUGGCUGUUCUUAUCCUUAAGAAUGAUGACUGUGUUUCCAAUUCCAGUAGACCCUUUGAUGCGUUCUGAAUAAAUAUUCCUUUUGGAAUUGAA